UAAUGCSUUUGCUGCAGCACUAAAGGGCGGAAACCCUCUAACACUUAGCACUCAUCGUUUACGGCGUGGACUACCAGGGUAUCUAAUCCUGUUCGCUCCCCACGCUUUCGCGCCUCAGCGUCAGUKACAGACCAGAGAGCCGCCUUCGCCACUGGUGUUCCUCCACAUCUCUACGCAUUUCACCGCUACACGUGGAAUUCCGCUCUCCUCUUCUGCACUCAAGUUCCCCAGUUUCCAAUGACCCUCCCCGGUUGAGCCGGGGGCUUUCACAUCAGACUUAAGGRACCGCCUGCGCGCGCUUUACGCCCAAUAAUUCCGGACAACGCUUGCSACCUACGUAUUACCGCGGCUGCUGGCACGUAGUUAGCCGUGGCUUUCUGGUCAGGUACCGUCAAGGUACCGGCAGUUACUCCGAUACUUGUUCUUCCCUGACAACAGAACUUUACGACCCGARAGCCUUCAUCGUUCACGCGGCGUUGCUCCGUCAGACUUUCGUCCAUUGCGGAAGAUUCCCUACUGCUGCCUCCCGUAGGAGUCUGGGCCGUGUCUCAGUCCAGUGUGGGCCGAUCACCCUCUCAGGUCGGCUACGCAUCGUUGCCUUGGUGAG
rnacentral:rRNA from 1 species